AUUGAACGCUGGCGGCAGGCCUAACACAUGCAAGUCGAACGAAGUCUUCGGACUUAGUGGCGGACGGGUGAGUAACACGUGGGAACGUACCUUUUGGUUCGGAACAACUCAGGGAAACUUGAGCUAAUACCGAAUGUGCCCUUCGGGGGAAAGAUUUAUCGCCAUUAGAGCGGCCCGCGUUAGAUUAGCUAGUUGGUGGG
rnacentral:rRNA from 1 species